GCUUUCGUGGUGUAGUGGUCAGUACGCUGGGCACGUAUUCCAGAGGCCCGUGGUUCGAGUCCCGGCGAAGACG
rnacentral:tRNA from 1 species